rnacentral:rRNA from 1 species
AACGAACGCUGGCGGCAUGCCUAACACAUGCAAGUCGAACGAGACCUUCGGGUCUAGUGGCGCACGGGUGCGUAACGCGUGGGAACCUGCCCUUAGGUUCGGAAUAACUCCCCGAAAGGGGUGCUAAUACCGGAUAAUGUCUUCGGACCAAAGAUUUAUCGCCUUUGGAUGGGCCCGCGUUGGAUUAGCUAGUUGGUAGGGUAGAAGCCUACCAAGGCGACGAUCCAUAGCUGGUCUGAGAGGAUGGUCAGCCACACUGGGACUGAGACACGGCCCAGACUCCUACGGGAGGCAGCAGUGGGGAAUAUUGGACAAUGGGCGAAAGCCUGAUCCAGCAAUGCCGCGUGAGUGAUGAAGGCCUUAGGGUUGUAAAGCUCUUUUACCCGGGAUGAUAAUGACAGUACCGGGAGAAUAAGCUCCGGCUAACUCCGUG